AAAGAAAAAAAAUCGCGAUCGAAAUAAAAAUAAUAAACAUACAAAGAUUACAACGAAUCGAAUUGUUAAAUUCCACGAAUUAAACGCAAAUUGUCUGAAAUUCAGCGUGCACAAAAAAAAGAAUCUGUUUCAAUGUGGAAAGUCCAACUAAAUUUUUACGCCUCGACUGUUGAUUGCCGACUUGCUCAAAAGCGUUAAUUCGGUUAAGCACUUAAAGCGUCCUCGUCAGCAGCAGCAGGAGGAGGAGGACGAAUCGGAGUUGGUAGUUGUGGUGGGCUGUUAAAGAGGGCUUGCUGGAUUGGGCCAGCAGCUGUCCCAAUGUGGCCCAGACAUAAGGGCACACAAAUUGCGACGCACAGCAAGUUACGUGCAUAGUUCAAUUGAAGGUGAAUUCCUAACUAAACGAGCCAGCGACACAAGAUUGAAACGAAGACAAAA